rnacentral:pre_miRNA from 1 species
UGGAAACAGUGGGGCCUCUUUUGUGGGGGAAAAUGAAUUAAAAGAGACCAACUGUUUCCUCG